CUCACCUGUCCCCGAGGUCUUCUUAAUCUUCUCCAGUGGGCACGGGCAGUUGUCAGCAGCCAGAGAAUGGAGAAAAUUGUCAAGGGAGCUGUAAGGAGCCAGGUUCUCCCUCUUUGCAUAAGGUAGUCCCAAAGGUGGCCCAGGAUGCCAGGCAAGCUGUAGGCCUUCUGCUUGGUGCCUGGGGACUGCUGCUUUGGGCCUUGUGGAACAGCAACUUUGCUGCCCUUGUACCAGACCCAUAUGGGACACUGGGAAGAGCCAAGCAAGCAGGACCAGUAUGAGGUUUGGCUCUUGGUUUUCUCCGUAUGCUGCUCCUCAGGAAGGUUUGUGUUUGUGUCCUUGGUCCUGAUGGGGCAGGAGGUUAAGCCAAACCAGCAGCGCCAGGUGGAGGUCUGGCUCUUGGUCUCCUCCACAGGUUGCUCUUCAGGAAGGAUCUCACUGUUGUUCUUGUCCUCAACCCUGAUGGGACAGGAGGUUAGGCCUAGCCAGCAGCGCCGGGUGGAGGUCUGGCUCUUGGUCGCCACCCGAUGCUGCUCCUCAGGAACGACCUUUUGGUCGCAACUGCAGACCCAGCUGAGAUAGCUGGGACAGCCUGGGCCACGUCCCGCAAAUGGAGACAUGCUCAGAGCCAUGGCCAGGAAGAGAGUCAGGCUGAGCUUCAUCCUGAUCUCUCCCAAAGAACAAUCUCUACACACAAAUGGCUGUGACCCACAGCAGAGCUCCAGCAGUGACCACCAGGACGGAGCUGUUGCUCCAAGUGUCUGAGCUGGGGGAGGCUGCCGGCGUGACUUGACCAAGUCUGAUGUCAUGCCCUGCUCUGUGAUGUCACAAUGCCUUUCCCCCGCAUCGACCAUAGGAUUCCCAGCGUGUCCUGAUGGACGCCCUGGUGGAUUUCUCAGAUUCGCACCUUGUCAAGGCAGAGGGGCGAAGCUCAGAGAAUUCCUCCCUGUGCCACUAUGACAAAGCAGGAAACCGACAGGGCAGUAGACGGAAGGUUUUGGAAGCCUCUUUGGACGCGAGUUUCAUGAAAGACCCUGAAUAAUAGCCGCCGGAUACACUGUGCUUUUCUUCUAACUUCAGCUUCAGCUCCAUUUUAAUU
ensembl:lncRNA